AUCAGCCAUCUGCCAGAAGGCAGCCCGGCAGAGCCGGCAGCGGGGCAAGCAGAGAGGAGCCAAGGCAGCCUUGUGAAACAGUGGGAAACAAAGAAGACAAACAAGUGGGCUUCAGGAGAAAUGACAGUGAAGAUGAUCGGAUGAAGCCUAAGGAAUCUCUAAAGACACCAGUGUGAGGAUCCUCACUUACUUCAAAAAGAAGAAAAUUAAAGCCUUACAACCUUAGGAAGAAAAAACACUUCAUACAUACCCUAUGUCUUCAGUGGGGACCUUGGGUGGAAGACAGCAUAGAAUUAUAUCUGUUAUUGUCAUUUACUGUUGCACAGUGCCCAGGUUAUUUCUCAUGAAUUGAGGCUGUUUUCACGCAAAGAGGAGACUGCAAGAUCCCAAGCCUAAGGAUACCUACACAGAUGUUUCAAGACAUUCCUCUGCUUCUGUGUUUAAGGGUGUUGCUGUAGCCUACCACUUCAUGAUUUCUCAUCCUGAUAAUCUUUAAGAUAUUGCAAUAGUGUAGCUUUAUUUUCUCAUUUCAUAUUUCAGUUUCUAAGGAGCAGAGAGAUCAGAUCCUUGUGCACAGGAUAUUUUUUGGCACCUAACCCCCUUCAAGGUAGAGUGGAAGAUUAAGGCUGCUAUAAGCUGAGUUACCAAGGAAGAUCUGUCUAAAUAAACUUCAAGAAACAAAGCAAGCCCGACAGAAAACAAUGCCCAGUAAUGUAGUCAAUAAUGUUUUAGUCUGUGCAUUUUCCCAGCUCUGGAACUGGUUGGGGAUUUACUAUCUCACUUUGGGAGAUGGACUACACAGCUCAAAUGAAGCAGUAAUGGAGCAUUAACAGAAUUAGUGCACUGAAAGUGCUUUGUAGGCUGGAGUUAGACAUUUUCAUCCUGGAUGAUGGGAUCGCUUUCCUACAGUAAUUAGUGGAGCAGCUGACAUUAACUCCGUAAGUGACCUGUUUGUUGCCACCACUGUGAAUCAAAAUUAGAUUAGCAGCCCCCCUACAGGUGUGGCAUGCAGUAUGGAGGUUAAAAGCGCACAAAAUGCUUUGCUGAUUCAAAAUGAACCGACCUGCAUCAAAAGGAUUAUGCAGUGUUUGGAUCGCCUGCACGCAGUGAGGAUUUGGGAGAGAUCGUAGAGCCUCGGGGAAGGGAGGCGGUGUCAAUACAGCAAACAGUUCUUGCUAAGGAUGGGAAUAUUUAUUCCCAAUUCAUCACGAAAUUUACAGUCAUCCCAGGUUGCCCAUAUGUGUUGUGUUCAAAAUCAACAGACAAAAACAAAUAAAAAAAGAUCAGCUUGAAUAAAUAAAACCCCAGAAACCUC